rnacentral:lncRNA from 1 species
UCUAAUUGUAUCAUUUUAUUUCAGGGACCUCCGCAGUCGGUCUCCUCUCCUUAUCCCACUCCCAGACCUCAGGGAAGGAAAUGGGCUUGCCUGAGAAGAUCCGUGCUUGAUUACCUGGGGAGGUAUGCAGCCCCUAAGGGAGAUUUGAAAAGCACCUCCCCUUCUGAGGAGGCCAUUCUGGUCUGGAGCCAGUUGCAACGGGUGUACCUAGCGGUGGCCACAUUUUUAUCCUGGCAAGUGGAUCUCUUACAAAGAUUCCCCCCAUCCUUCAGGAAACUGCACAUGUACCUGUGCAAACUACACAAGAAUGUGGGACCCCUGUGCUGCUCCCAAGGGAAAGGUUCUGUCUGGGUGUGGGAUGGAUCUAAACAAGCAAUACCCAUAUGCUGUCUGUGGUCUAAGGGGCGCGGGGGGGGGGGGGGGGGGGGCAGAAGGAAUGGCUGUCCUGUGGAGCGGCUGAAGAGAGAGAUGGAUCAGAAAGUGAAGUGAGGCAGAAGCCAGAGACCAGGAGAAGACAGCAAGAGAUCCUAGAGCAGGCAGUCUGUAACCUCCU